rnacentral:tRNA from 1 species
GGAGGUGUGGCUCAGUGGAAGAGCUUCUGUUUUGCACACAAGGAGGUCACAGGUUCAAGCCUCAGCCAUUCCA